GAUGAACGCUGGCGGCGUGCCUAAUACAUGCAAGUCGAACGAAGAUCUAGCUUGCUAGAUCUUAGUGGCGAACGGGUGAGUAAUACAUAAAUAAUCUGCCCAUAUGACUGGGAUAACUAUUGGAAACGAUAGCUAAUACCGGAUAGGUUGAUCGGAGGCAUCUCUGAUGAAUUAAAGUAGGAUUUCUACACAAAUGGAUGAGUUUAUGGCGCAUUAGUUAGUUGGUGGGGUAACGGCCUACCAAGACGAUGAUGCGUAGCCGACCUGAGAGGGUGACCGGCCACACUGGGACUGAGACACGGCCCAGACUCCUACGGGAGGCAGCAGUAGGGAAUUUUCGGCAAUGGGCGCAAGCCUGACCGAGCAACGCCGCGUGAGUGAUUAAGGCCUUCGGGUUGUAAAGCUCUGUUGUAAGGGAAGAACAUUCAGGAUAGGAAAUGAUCUUGAACUGACGGUACCUUACCAGAAAGCCACGGCUAACUACGUGCCAGCCGCCGCAGUAAUAC
rnacentral:rRNA from 1 species